CAGGGAGACAACAAAAUGUUUAAUAUUAUUAUUUUGUCACCUUAGGUCGAUCGGUAUCUCACAUUCUUAUUUUAUUGAGGAUUUCAUUUCCUAAGUUUUUCUAGGUCACACCCAUUAUUUUUCCUGGGCCAUUAGCUCAGGUGGUUAGAGCGCACCCCUGAUAAGGGUGAGGUCCCUGGUUCAAGUCCAGGAUGGCCCAUCUCUCUAUGUUGGGGGUAUAGCUCAGUUGGUAGAGCGCCUGCUUUGCAAGCAGGAUGUCAGCGGUUCGAGUCCGCUUACCUCCACUGAUUACCACCUCUUCCAUAAUCUGUAGAAGGAAAAAUUUUUGUGUUGUGAUCACAUUCUGAACGAAUCUAGCUUCCUAAUGAAAUUAUUAAGAUGCUGGACUCAUUGAAUUAAUUUCAUUGUUUUCAGAGAACCUUGACAACUGCAUAGAUUAUUUUUUAAAGACAAUAAGCAUCUUUAAUGAUGCAGAUUUAUUAUUUGUGCUAAUGCAUUAAUAACAAUUCUAUUAAGCUGAUGCUUCA
rnacentral:tRNA from 1 species